rnacentral:rRNA from 1 species
CCUUGACAUCCACGGAAUUUGGCAGAGAUGCCUUAGUGCCUUCGGGAACCGUGAGACAGGUGCUGCAUGGCUGUCGUCAGCUCGUGUUGUGAAAUGUUUGGGUUAAGUCCCGCAACGAGCGCAACCCUUAUCCUUUGUUGCCAGCGAUUCGGUCGGGAACUCAAAGGAGACUGCCGGUGAUAAACCGGAGGAAGGUGGGGAUGACGUCAAGUCAUCAUGGCCCUUACGGCCAGGGCUACACACGUGCUACAAUGGCGCAUACAAAGAGAAGCGACCUCGCGAGAGCAAGCGGGACCUCAUAAAGUGCGUCGUAGUCCGGAUUGGAGUCUGCAACUCGACUCCAUGAAGUCGGAAUCGCUAGUAAUCGUAGAUCAGAAUGCUACGGUGAAUACGUUCCCGGGCCUUGUACACACCGCCCGUCACACCAUGGGAGUGGGUUGCAAAAGAAGUAGGUAGCUUAACCUUCGGGAGGGCGCUUACCACUUUGUGAUUCAUGACUGGGGUGAAGUCGUAACAAGGUAGGCGUAGCGAG